rnacentral:sRNA from 1 species
ACCCAGGUGCUCAGCUUGGUUCUCCUGAUCUGCUGUCACGUCGAUCACCCUUGCAUAACAUCAGCGGCGGACAAAUAACAGAGGAAUAGCCCAAUCACAAUGCAUCUCGCAGAUCCAGAGCUUCCGCUAUUUUCUUUUUCGUCGAACAGGAACGCGGAGCCAUGAAUACUAGUAGUCAAUCGGACAUUGAAACCUGUGUGAUACAGUCUAGAAGAGAAGAAUAAUGGAUUCUCCUGCACAAUUGAAUAUAAUCAAAUGGGCUACUGUGAUGCGACAAUUGGCCGAAACUGCAAUGAUUGUCAAAAGGACGAGAAACACCGUCC